CGAGGCCGUGGCCAUGGCCGUGGAAGAGGUGGUAAAUCAAGAAACUGAAGCAUUUUCUUUGUUUUACUCAGGGUAAGAGGCAUGAGGAAGGAACAAAAAAAAAUAGAAUCACUUGUUUUUCUUCUGUAUUUACCCAGCUAAGCUACUAUUUUUGUCCUAGUUUUGACUCUCAAACUUCAAUGGUUUCUGAAUAGUGUUGGAGACCCUUAGUUUUGGCUAUUUUAUCUCUUGCUGUUUUGAGUUGUGCAUUCUCUGCCACUGUUUUCCGACCAUAUUCCUUCCUCCAAAUGCAAUUUCAACUGUCGUGUAUUGCUAUUUUCAGAACUUCAAAUACGUUUUUAGGUUAGACAUCAGAGCUGUUCCGCAGUUCAUUGCCGUUGAAAGGAUUCUGGAUUUGAGUUUAAAUUGCUUAAAGUGAGAUUCCAAAUGUAAGGCGGU
rnacentral:misc_RNA from 1 species